rnacentral:rRNA from 1 species
CCAUGGCGGGAGAGACCAACAGGGAUUGCCUCAGUAACGGCGAGUGAAGCGGCAACAGCUCAAAUUUGAAAUCUGGCCCUCGGGUCCGAGUUGUAAUUUGUAGAGGAUGCUUUUGGCGCGGUGCCUUCCGAGUUCCCUGGAACGGGACGCCUUAGAGGGUGAGAGCCCCGUACGGUUGGACACCAAGCCUCUGUAAAGCUCCUUCGACGAGUCGAGUAGUUUGGGAAUGCUGCUCUAAAUGGGAGGUAAAUUUCUUCUAAAGCUAAAUAUUGGCCAGAGACCGAUAGCGCACAAGUAGAGUGAUCGAAAGAUGAAAAGCACUUUGAAAAGAGGGUUAAAUAGCACGUGAAAUUGUUGAAAGGGAAGCGUUUGCGACCAGACCUUUUCCUGGCGGAUCAUCCGGUGUUCUCACCGGUGCACUUCGCCAGGUCGAGGCCAGCAUCGGUUUCCGCGGGGGGAUAAAAGCUCUGGGAACGUAGCUCCUCCGGGAGUGUUAUAGCCCUCUGCACAAUACCCCCGCGGGGACCGAGGACCGCGCUCUAAGCAAGGAUGCUGGCGUAAUGGUUGUCAACGACCCGUCUUGAAACACGGACCAAGGAGUCGAACAUUUGUGCGAGUGUUUGGGUGUCAAACCCUCACGCGUAAUGAAGGUGAACGUAGGUGAGAGCCCUUACGGGUGCAUCAUCGACCGAUCCUGAUGUCUUCGGAUGGAUUUGAGUAAGAGCAUAACUGUUCGGACCCGAAAGAUGGUGAACUAUGCGUGGAUAGGGUGAAGCCAGAGGAAACUCUGGUGGAGGCUCGCAGCGGUUCUGACGUGCAAAUCGAUCGUCAAAUCUGCGCAUGGGGGCGAAAGACUUAUCGAACCAUCUAGUAGCUGGUUACCGCCGAAGUUUCCCUCAGAUAGCAGUGUUGUUCUUCAGUUUUAUGAGGUAAAGCGAAUGAUUAGGGACUCGGGGGCGCUUUUUUGCCUU